CCUACGGGAGGCAGCAGUGAGGAAUAUUGGUCAAUGGGCGCGAGCCUGAACCAGCCAAGUAGCGUGAAGGAUGACUGCCCUACGGGUUGUAAACUUCUUUUAUAAAGGAAUAAAGUGAGGCACGUGUGCCUUUUUGUAUGUACUUUAUGAAUAAGGAUCGGCUAACUCCGUGCCAGCAGCCGCGGUAAUACGGAGGAUCCGAGCGUUAUCCGGAUUUAUAGGGUUUAAAGGGAGCGUAGAUGGGUUGUUAAGUCAGUGGUGAAAGUUUGCGGUUCAACCGUAAAAUUGCAAUUGAUACUGGCAGUCUUGAGUACAGUGGAGGUAGGCGGAAUUCGUGGUGUAGCGGUGAAAUGCUUAGAUAUCACGAAGAACUCCGAUUGCGAAGGCAGCUUACUAAACUGCCACUGACAUUGAUGCUCGAAAGUGUGGGUAUCAAACAGGAUUAGAUACCCCUGUAGUC
rnacentral:rRNA from 1 species